GAGUUUGAUCAUGGCUCAGAACGAACGCUGGCGGCAGGCUUAACACAUGCAAGUCGAACGAGACUUCGGUCUAGUGGCGCACGGGUGAGUAACGCGUGGGAACCUGUCCUUUGGUACGGAAUAACACCGGGAAACUGGUGCUAAUACCGUAUGUGCCCUGAGGGGGAAAGGUUUAUCGCCAAAGGAGGGGCCCGCGUAGGAUUAGCUAGUUGGUGAGGUAACGGCUCACCAAGGCGACGAUCCUUAGCUGGUCUGAGAGGAUGAUCAGCCACACUGGGACUGAGACACGGCCCAGACUCCUACGGGAGGCAACAGUGGGGAAUAUUGGACAAUGGGGGAAACCCUGAUCCAGCCAUGCCGCGUGUGUGAUGAAGGCCUUCGGGUUGUAAAGCACUUUCGCACGUGACGAUGAUGACGGUAACGUGAGAAGAAGCCCCGGCUAACUUCGUGCCAGCAGCCGCGGUAAUACG
rnacentral:rRNA from 1 species